CUGUGUACAUCAAUUGUUUUAAGCCAUAUUAAACGUCCCUUUAGUGCCGUUACACCAACUGUACCGUAAUUACAAGAAAUGAUGCGCAACAGUGGCCACUCAGCUGCAGGUUUUACGGCUUUUGUUAUUUAAAGCUCUUGUUGACUGGGGUAACAGCCAGACUCCGAUCAGAUGUUUUCACUCUUCAAAGCCAGUGUUUAGCUUUAUUCGCCUUUUCGCAGGAGGUCGAUGGAUGAUAUUCACCAACAUCCUGUUUUCUUUGAGAGUCACCGGCUGCACGAAGAGCAGAGGAGGGUGAUAGAAAAUUAUUUUCGUAUUCGUCGCAAAUCAGGCGGAGGUGAAUGUGUCCUGAGGGGUGUAAAAGAUAAUGUCUACUGUAUACUUUUCAAGGAUCAACAAGAUCAACAAAGAGUCCUGCAGAAAUCCAAGCAUGUUGUGGAGUUUGUAGAUGGUCCCCUGGUGAUCACUGUCCAAGGCAGCCUGGAGCCUCACACCUCCUCGACCAUCACCACCUCCACUCCAGACCAGGAUUUCACAGCCUCAGCACAGAGCCCAGAGACUAUUCCUACCUCAACACCUCCAUCAAGUCGUGAAGACUAUGAGCUACAACUUGAUUCUUACCUCCUCCGUUACCUACAUGAAUGUCCUGAGGCGUGGGAAGAACUGGAGAAAGAACUCACCACUGUUGGCUGCUCAGCUCAGCUUUUCCCAGAGAGAGUUUUAGUCCGGAGAUCAGCUCAAGCUGCUGCUACAGAUGCAGUUAGACAUUGGAAAGCUCAGGUAGACAAACUGUUUGAGGGCUACAUGGUCCACUAUGAGCUGGACCCUCACAAAGUCAAAGCUUUGCUUCAGUCCUGCAGCUUUAAUCAGAGCACAGAUGAGGUGAAGGUGAAGGUUUACAGUGAGAUUGGUCUGGCUGUUGUUGUUGGGGAAUGUUCUCAGGUGGACGCCAGGUUGAAGGAUGUAGAGGACUCAACUGUUAGACGUCGAGAGUCGCGUUUAAGUGAGAAGCAAACCAGUGUACGUCACCUAGGUGAGGCCAAACUCCGACUCCUCUGGAAAGAUCUUGACCUCAGUUUAAGACAAGAUUUUCCAGGAGUGAAGGUCUCACAGGGAGAAGCAGGUGAGCUCAUUUUGGAAGGAUCUGUGGAGGAGAUUCUUGACACUGUAGAUUUGAUUUCUAAGAAGGAGACUUUGGUCUUAGAAAGAAAAGUUUCUGAUAUACGCCCAUAUUUUUUGGCUUUCCUAAAGAAGACUUAUGGAGGUCCAGGGGUGCUGGGUGACUUUUUAGCGAUUGGUGACAAGGUGGAAAUAGAGUUACGGGACACAGAGCUAUGUUUUCUCUCCCUCUCUGCUGAUAAACUGGAUGAUGCAGAAAAGAAAUUUCAAAAAGAAUUCAAGGACGUCAGCAUUGAUGUUCCUAACUGCUCUGUUGUUCCAUCUGAGCUUUGGGAAAAGCUUAAGUCCAAGACAAAUGAGAUGAACCAAAGUCAGUGCAGAGCUCUGGCUGUGUUUGGCUCAGACAGCACAGUGUAUUUACUGGGCCACACUAAAGAGGUUGAAGAGCUGACUGAAACUGUCUCACAGUUUGUUUUGGAGCAUUCUAGUUUGCAAAACACAGUCCAGCUCCCUUUUCCAGUGUUAGCACAAGAUUUACCAGAAUUACUGCAGCUGCAUGGUUUUGACUAUUCAGGGGUGAUCUUCCAUCCUGUAACAUCUUCCUCUGGGCCUAUGGUGGGACUAGAAGGUCCAAAAAACAAAGUGACUGAGGUGAGGAACAGAUUGGGUCCAUUUCUGGACACAGUCACUAAUGACCAACUUGGGACAGUAAGAUAUUUCCAAAAUCCAACUGUGGGAGCUGCUGGUCAUGACACAGCAAGAGGAGCUGGAGCUGCUGGAGAAUGUGUCACUGUGGAGGUCAUUCAGGGCACUAUUGAGACCCAGCAGGUGAGAAUCUGA
ensembl:lncRNA